UACCUGCCCACUGAAUUUUUAAAUGGCCGCGGUAUUUUGACCGUGCAAAGGUAGCAUAAUCAUUAGUUUUUUAAUUGAAAGCUGGAAUGAAAGGUUUGAUGAAAAAAUGGCUGUCUUUAUUAAAAAAUUAAAAUUUUAUUUUUAAGUUAAAAAGCUUAAAUUUUUUUAAAAGACGAGAAGACCCUAUAGAAUUUAAUAAUUUAUUUUAAUAUUAUAAAAUUUUAGCUUAUUUUUUUUUAUUAAAAAAGUUAUUGUAUUGGGGUGAUAGAGUAAUUUAAUAAACUUAUUUUUAUUUAAUUCAUUUAUAUAUGUUUAAUUGAUCCAUAGAUUAUGAUUAUAAGAUAAAAUUACCUUAGGGAUAACAGCGUAAUUUUUUUUAAGAGUUCAAAUCGAAAAAAGAGAUUGCGA
rnacentral:rRNA from 1 species